GGCGAACGCUGGCGGCGUGCUUAACACAUGCAAGUCGAACGGAAAGGCCCUGCUUUUGUGGGGUGCUCGAGUGGCGAACGGGUGAGUAACACGUGAGUAACCUGCCCUUGACUUUGGGAUAACUUCAGGAAACUGGGGCUAAUACCGGAUAGGAGCUCCUGCUGCAUGGUGGGGGUUGGAAAGUUUCGGCGGUUGGGGAUGGACUCGCGGCUUAUCAGCUUGUUGGUGGGGUAGUGGCUUACCAAGGCUUUGACGGGUAGCCGGCCUGAGAGGGUGACCGGCCACAUUGGGACUGAGAUACGGCCCAGACUCCUACGGGAGGCAGCAGUGGGGAAUAUUGCACAAUGGGCGGAAGCCUGAUGCAGCAACGCCGCGUGCGGGAUGACGGCCUUCGGGUUGUAAACCGCUUUCGCCUGUGACGAAGCGUGAGUGACGGUAAUGGAUAAAGAAGCACCGGCUAACUACGUGCCAGCAGCCGCGGUGAUACGUAGGGUGCGAGCGUUGUCCGGAUUUAUUGGGCGUAAAGGGCUCGUAGGUGGUUGAUCGCGUCGGAAGUGUAAUCUUGGGGCUUAACCCUGAGCGUGCUUUCGAUACGGGUUGACUUGAGGAAGGUAGGGGAGAAUGGAAUUCCUGGUGGAGCGGUGGAAUGCGCAGAUAUCAGGAGGAACACCAGUGGCGAAGGCGGUUCUCUGGGCCUUUCCUGACGCUGAGGAGCGAAAGCGUGGGGAGCGAACAGGCUUAGAUACCCUGGUAGUCCACGCUGUAAACGGUGGGUACUAGGUGUGGGGUCCAUUCCACGGGUUCCGUGCCGUAGCUAACGCUUUAAGUACCCCGCCUGGGGAGUACGGCCGCAAGGCUAAAACUCAAAGGAAUUGACGGGGCCCCGCACAAGCGGCGGAGCAUGCGGAUUAAUUCGAUGCAACGCGUAGAACCUUACCUGGGUUUGACAUGGAUCGGGAGUGCUCAGAGAUGGGUGUGCCUCUUUUGGGGUCGGUUCACAGGUGGUGCAUGCCUGUCGUCAGCUCGUGUCGUGAGAUGUUGGGUUAAGUCCCGCAACGAGCGCAACCCUUGUUCACUGUUGCCAGCACGUUAUGGUGGGGACUCAGUGGAGACCGCCGGGGUCAACUCGGAGGAAGGUGGGGAUGACGUCAAGUCCUCAUGCCCCUUAUGUCCAGGGCUUCACGCAUGCUACAAUGGCUGGUACAGAGAGUGGCGAGCCUGUGAGGGUGAGCGAAUCUCGGAAAGCCGGUCUCAGUUCGGAUUGGGGUCUGCAACUCGACCUCAUGAAGUCGGAGUCGCUAGUAAUCGCAGAUCAGCAACGCUGCGGUGAAUACGUUCCCGGG
rnacentral:rRNA from 1 species